GGGUCUCACUGUUGCCCAAGCUGAAAUACAGUUGCACAAUGAUUGUGCACUGCAGCCUUGAACUCCUGGGUUCAAAUGAUCCUCCUACCUUGGCCUCCCAAAACACUAGAAUUACGGGCAUGAGCCACCAUGCUUAUCCAAAACUACAAUUUAGGUAAAAGAUAUACUAGUCAUUACUCUGUAUGUAUUAGAUGCAGCAACUAAAUAUAUAAAGUAUUAGAAAUGCAAGGAGAACCUCAUUUAGAAAUAUAAUUAAAAUUAAUAUUUUUAUAUAUGUCUUUCAGAAUCAUUCAAAUCCAGUGGGGCAAAGAAUAGUAAUAACGACAAACAGAAAUUAAACAGCAAAACUGUUGAAAUGAUGGGGUUCAGGACAUUCUACCCCAAAAUAUGGCAGCUGGCCAUACUGAGUAUCUUUAUUUCAGCUGAAGGAAUCUGAAAAAUGGCAGGUACAGGAAGAACACUCUGACUCUUUCUUCUCCUCUAAAAUAGUACAAAAGACCCUAACAUGAGAGGUACCUUCCCGAUACUCAGAGGUAAGAACACCUUAAUCACCGAAGAUGGAAAGAAGGAGAGAUGUUGAGAGGAAUACAAACCAAUAGGUCUUGCUUAGUUCCUCCAGUUUACUAUCCUAGUUCAAACCCUCUUUGCCCUAUCAUAUUUUUCCACAACUUUCUACUCUUUGUCAAACCUAGUAUAAGAAUACUCAGGGUUAACUGUUUCUUUGGGUCUUCAUUUCCAUUUCUGUGUUAUGUAAAACAGAUACUAAAUAAAGUUGUAUUCUUUUCUCUUGUUAAUCUGUAUCUUAAAGUCCCAGUAAACAAUCUAGAAGUGAGAAGAUUUUUCCUCCACUACAAUAUUAAAUCAUAUAUCUGUUGAAUAGAAAGUAUUAAGUAGAAAAUAUUCCUAUUUUUGCACAUUCAUGGAAUAUUUAUGACAUUUGGUCUUAUUCUUGGUGACAAAAAACAACUUUUUUAAAAAGGACAGUUUUACAGUUUGUAUUCUCUGAUAAACCUCAGAAAUAAAAAACAAAGAAUGACAAAAAUUCUAAAUACUUAAGAAUAAACCACAACAGUUAAAAACACUUUAAUAGCUGUGGGUCAAAAAGAAAAUAAAAUCAAAAUUAAAAAUUAUUUAAAAGCAAUAGCAAGAACUACUAUUUAUGUCAAACCAAUAAGGCAUAUAAAAAUCUAUGAGAGGAAUAUUUGCAACUUUAAGUGCCUUUGCCAUUAAAGAUUAAGAGCUGAAAAGUAAAGAACAAUACUCAUCUUUAAGAAAUUAGAAAAAGGGCUGGGCAUGGUGGCUCACACCUGUAACCAGCGCUCUGGGAGGCUGAGGCAGGCAGAUCACCUGAGGUCAAGAGUUCAAGACUAGCCUGACCAACAUGAAAAAACCUUGUCUCUACUAAAAAUACAAAAUUAGAUGCACAUGGUGGUGCAUGCCUGUAAUCCCAGCUACUUAGGAGGCUGAGGUAGGAGAAUCGCUUGAACCCAGGGUGUGGAGGUUGCGCUGAGCUGAGAUUGUGCCGUUGCACUCCUGCCUGAGCAAUAAGAGUGAAACUCUGUCUAAAAAAAAAAAAAAAAUUAGAAAAAGAAAAAGAAAACAAACAAAACCAAACCAAAGUGGAAAGAUUAAGAUGGUGAAGGAAAAUAAUUAACAAGAAAGCAAAAUUAUAAGUAAAAUUGUAGAAAAGAUAAAUAAACCCGAAAAGGAAAAUCAAUAGAAGUCUGACUAAAAGAAACAUACACAAGGUAAAAAAUGAGAGAGAGAGAGACAAUCAAAGAUAAGACAUUGAAAACAUUAUAGGAGAAUAUUAGAUUCAAUGGCAACAUUUCAAAAAAUGUAGAGCGAAUAAAUGAUGAUCUUGCAAAAUAUAAACUAACAAAAUUGACCCAAGAAGAAAUACAAAACUUCAGUAGAGCAAAUGCUAUAGAAGAGACAGGAGGAGGCUUAAAAGACCUACUUCCUAAAAAAUCCCCAGGACCUGAUAGAUUCAGAGAUAAGUUCUAGCUGAUCUUUAAAAUACAAACAAGUACUUUUUCAUAACGGGUUUGCCGCCAGAACAUAGGUGUCAUGAAAACUACCCCUAAAAGCCAAAAUGGGAAAGGAAAAGACUCAUAUCAACAUUGUCAUCAUUGGACACGUAGAUUCGGGCAAGUCCACCACUACUGGCCAUCUAAUCUACAAAUGCGGUGGCAUCGACAAAAGAACCAUUGAAAAAUUUGAAAAGGAGGCUGCUGAGAUGGGAAAGGGCUCCUUCAAGUAUGCCUGGGUCCUGGAUAAACUGAAAGCUGAGCCUGAACGUGGUAUCACCAUUGAUAUCUCCUUGUGGAAAUUUGAGAUCAGCAAGUACUACGUGACUAUCAUUGAUGCCCCAGGACACAGAGACUUCAUCAAAAACAUGAUUACAGGGACAUCUCAGGCUGACUGUGCUGUCCUGAUUGUCACUGCUGGUGUUGGUGAAUUUGAAGCUGGUAUCUCCAAGAACAAGCAGACCCAAGAGCAUGCCCUCCUGGCGUACACACUAGGUGUGAAACAACUAAUUGUUGGUGUUAACAAAAUGGAUUUCACUGAGCCACCGUACAGCCAGAAGAGAUAUGAGGAAAUCAUUAAGGAAGUCAGCACUUACAUUAUGAAAAUUGGCUACAACCCUGACACAGCAGCAUUUGUGCCAAUUUCUGGUUGGAAUGGUGACAACAUGCUGGAGCCAAGUGCUAACAUGCCUUGGUUCAAGGGUUAGAAAGUCACCCGUAAGGAUGGCAAUUCCGGCGGGACUACACUGCUUGAGGCUCUGGACUGCAUCCUACCACCAACUCAUCCAACUGACAAGCCCUUGCACCUGCCUCUCCAGGAUGUCUAUAAAAUUGGUGGUAUUGGUACUGUUCCUGUUGGCCGAGUGGAGACUGGUGUUCUCAAACCUGGUAUUGUGGUCACCUUUGCUCCAGUCAAUGUUACAACUGUGAAAUCUGUUGAAAUGCACCAUGAAGCUUUGAGUGAAGCUCUUUCUGGAGACAAUGUGGGCUUCAAUGUCAAGAAUAUGUCUGUCAAGGAUGUUCAUCGUGGCAACGUUGCUGGUGACAGCAAGAAUGACCCACCAAUGGAAGCAGCUGGCUUCACUGCUCAAGUGAUUAUCCUGAAUGAUCCAGGUCAAAUUAGUGCUGAUUAUGCCCCUGUACUGGAUUGCCACACUGCUCACAUUGCAUGCAAGUUUGCUGAGCUGAAGGAAAAGAUUGAUCGUCGUUCUGGCAAAAAGCUGGAAGAUGCCCCGAAGUUCUUGAAGUCAGGCGAUGCUGCCAUCGUUGAUAUGGUUCCUGGCAAGCCCAUGUGUGUUGAGAGCUUCUCAGACUAUCCACUUCUCGGUUGCUUUGCUGUUCAUGAUAUGAGACAGACAGUUGCCGUGGGUGUCAUCAAAGCAGUGGAUAAGAAGGCUGCUGGAGCUGGCAAGAUCACCAAGUCUGCCCAGAAAGCUCAGAAGGCUAAAUGAAUAUUAUCCCGAAUACCUGCCACCUCAGUCUUAAUCAGUGGUGGAGAAAGAACUGUUUCAGAACUGUUUGUUUCAAUUGGCCAUUUAAGUUUAGUAGUAAAAGACUGGUUAAUGGUAACAAUGCAUCGUAAAACUUUCAGGAGGAAAGGAGAAUGUUUUGUGGACCACUUUUUUUUCUUUUUUGCGUGUGACAGUUUUAAUGUAUUAGUUUUUAAAAUCAGUACUUUUUAAUGGAAGCAACUUGACCAAAAAUUUGUCAUAAAAUUUUAAGACCCAU